AUUCUUGCUUAGGGGCAGUAUCAUAGCCCAUGAAGUCUAACUGAGGCGUGAUUAUUGCUAGUUGAAAACUUUACCCAAUACCCUGCCUUGGUGACCCGAAAUAUGGUCAGCUAUGGCAAUUUUUGACAGUUCCUCUGGGGA